CUAGAAUGGCUGAUAAAGGCAUUAAAUUGUAAAUUUAAUAAUAAUGAAAAGUUUUUUAGCA
rnacentral:tRNA from 1 species